GGGCGAUUAGCACAGUGGUAGCGCACUUCCUUCACACGGAAGGGGUCGUGGGUUCGAAUCCCGCAUCGCCCAC
rnacentral:tRNA from 2 species